UAUGAACGCUGACAGAAUGCUUAACACAUGCAAGUCGUACUUGAUCCUUCGGGUGAUGGUGGCGGACGGGUGAGUAACGCGUAAAGAACUUGCCUUGCAGUCUGGGACAACGUCUGGAAACGGACGCUAAUACCGGAUAUUAUGGUUGAAUCGCAUGAUUUGAUUAUGAAAGCUAUAUGCGCUGCGAGAGAGCUUUGCGUCCCAUUAGUUAGUUGGUGAGGUAACGGCUCACCAAGACGACGAUCGGUAGCCGGACUGAGAGGUUGAACGGCCACAUUGGGACUGAGACACGGCCCAG
rnacentral:rRNA from 1 species